CCUACGGGAGGCAGCAGUGGGGAAUUUUGGACAAUGGGCGCAAGCCUGAUCCAGCCAUUCCGCGUGCAGGAUGAAGGCCUUCGGGUUGUAAACCGCUUUUGGACGGAACGAAAAGCCAUUUCCUAAUACGGGGUGGUCAUGACGGUACCGUCAGAAUAAGCACCGGCUAACUACGUGCCAGCAGCCGCGGUAAUACGUAGGGUGCAAGCGUUAAUCGGAAUUACUGGGCGUAAAGCGUGCGCAGGCGGUGAUGUAAGACAGAUGUGAAAUCCCCGGGCUCAACCUGGGAACUGCAUUUGUGACUGCAUCGCUGGAGUACGGCAGAGGGGGAUGGAAUUCCGCGUGUAGCAGUGAAAUGCGUAGAUAUGCGGAGGAACACCGAUGGCGAAGGCAAUCCCCUGGGCCUGUACUGACGCUCAUGCACGAAAGCGUGGGGAGCAAACAGGAUUAGAUACCCUGGUAGUCCACGCCCUAAACUAUGUCAACUGGUUGUCGGGGAAGCAAUUCCUUGGUAACGAAGCUAACGCGUGAAGUUGACCGCCUGGGGAGUACGGCCGCAAGGUUAAAACUCAAAGGAAUUGACGG
rnacentral:rRNA from 1 species